rnacentral:rRNA from 1 species
UACAGAGGUCUCAAGCGUUGUUCGGAUUCAUUGGGCGUAAAGGGUGCGUAGGUGGUGACGCAAGUCUGGUGUGAAAUCUCGGAGCUUAACUCCGAAAUUGCACCGGAUACUGCGUAACUCGAGGACUGUAGAGGAGAUCGGAAUUCACGGUGUAGCAGUGAAAUGCGUAGAUAUCGUGAGGAAGACCAGUUGCGAAGGCGGAUCUCUGGGCAGUACCUGACACUGAGGCACGAAGGCCAGGGGAGCAAACGGG